rnacentral:rRNA from 1 species
AAACUAACAAGGAUUCCCCUAGUAACGGCGAGUGAAGCGGGAAGAGCUCAAAUUUGUAAUCUGGCACUUUCAGUGUCCGAGUUGUAAUCUCGAGAAGUGUUUUCCGCGCCGGACCGCAUACAAGUCUGUUGGAAUACAGCGUCAUAGUGGUGAGAACCCCGUAACUGAUGCGGAUGCCCGGUGCUUUGUGAUACACUUUCGAAGAGUCGAGUUGUUUGGGAAUGCAGCUCAAAUUGGGUGGUAAAUUCCAUCUAAAGCUAAAUAUUGGCGAGAGACCGAUAGCGAACAAGUACCGUGAGGGAAAGAUGAAAAGCACUUUGGAAAGAGAGUUAACAGUACGUGAAAUUGUUGGAAGGGAAACGCUUGAAGUCAGACUUGCUAUGUGGAUUUAUUCACUUCGCAGGCCAGCAUCAGUUUCUGGGGGUGGAAAAGGGUUUGGAGAAGGUAGCAACUCCGGUUGUGUUAUAGCUCCUUGCUGGAUUCAUCUUUGGGGACUGAGGAACGCAGCGCGCUUUUUGCAAGGCUCUCGAGCUUUUCGCGCUUAGGAUGCUGGUGGAAUGGCUUUAAACGAC